rnacentral:tRNA from 1 species
UCCGAUAUGGUGUAGUGGCUAACAUUAUCGCCUCUCAUGAAAUUGUGUGCGCGAUAGCCCGGGGUUCGAUUCCCCGUGUCGGAA